rnacentral:RNase_MRP_RNA from 1 species
AUUGUUAAACCACCGGGCGAAAGUCCCCGGGCGCUGAGGCAGAGAGUGCCAGCCCAAAUGGGCAGGACCUCCGUGCGCGACGCCUCCGGGCAUAGCCGCGGAGCAGCUCGCCAUAGCUACAGUUAUGUGUGCCAGUGGGGAACCAACCCACGAACAGAACGGGGCUCACUCUUGC